rnacentral:rRNA from 1 species
GACGAACGCUGGCGGCGCGCUUAACACAUGCAAGUCGAGCGAGAACCAGUCCUUCGGGACUGGGGACAGCGGCGAACGGGUGAGUAACACGUGGGUAAUCUGCCCUCGGCACCGGAAUAGCCCGGGGAAACCCGGAUUAAUGCCGGAUGGCCUCCCUGCCCCUCAGGGCAGUGAGAAAAGGUAGCUUUGGCCUCCGGCCGAGGAUGAGCCCGCGGCCGAGUAGCUUGUUGGUGGGGUAACGGCUCACCAAGGCGACGAUCGGUAGCUGGUCUGAGAGGACGAUCAGCCACACUGGGACGGAGACACGGCCCAGAGUCCUACGGGAGGCCGCAGUGGGGAAUCUUGCGCAAUGGGCGAAAGCCUGACGCAGCGACGCCGCGUGAGGGAGGAAGGCCUUCGGGUUGUAAACCUCUUUCAGGAGGGACGAAGCUACUCGGGUGAAUAGCCCAGAGGGUGACGGUACCUCCAGAAGAAGCCCCGGCUAACUACGUGCCAGCAGCCGCGGUAAUAC